rnacentral:tRNA from 1 species
GCUGCGAUAGCCGAGUGGUUAAGGCGUUCGACUCGAAAUCCAAUGGGAUAUUCCCGCGCAGGUUCAAAUCCUGCUCGUAUCG